CGCUCCGCUCAGACUCCUCAAGCUUCCUGCUGCCUCCAAUGCAAUGGUGGAGGAUGAGCUCCACUAAGGAACACAUCCGGCUCACAGAUCUGGCUGGCAUUGCUCUGUCUUGUAACAGCAGGUUUCUCUUUACUGCCUGAUUUUCUGCUACCCCUGUGGAGGGUCAUUUCUGUGUGUGUGUAUGUUAGCUGUCAGCCAGGGAUUUGGGAAGUUUGUGCUCUGAUUCUGGGUUUCACUCCUGUGACUUGUGUGCCAGGAUUUCCUCUUCCUAUUUCCAGCUGCUUUCCCGGCUCUAAGCUCCAAGUGCUAUCACCUUCAGUUGACCAGCUGCGUCUUUGUCCCUCCCCACAUCACUUUCUGCAGCCAGGGCAGCACUCCUGGACAGGAAGCCAUGAACUUGCAAUUCCACCAUUUCUUCCAGUUGCUUUUGGAGAAUUCAGUUUCAAAGUGCGAGUUGAGGAUAACAUUCUGGCUUUCAGAAAUCAUAAAUAAUGAACGGCACAUUUGAGUCAUUAUCGGUGGUUAUCCCUCUUAGAGUCCUCUUUGGUGUGCUCCGACCUAAGAGUCAAGGAAACUUAUUUUGAACUAUUUAUGGCCAUUAAU
rnacentral:lncRNA from 1 species